rnacentral:rRNA from 1 species
GACAGAGGCCCCGAGCGUUAAUCGGAAUCACUGGGCUUAAAGGGUGCGUAGGCUGAUCCGAAAGUGCUUUGUGAAAUCCCCGGGCUCAACCCGGGAACAGCGGGGCAUACUGCGGAUCUCGAGGAAGGUAGGGGCCGCCAGAACAGUAGGUGGAGCGGUGAAAUGCGUAGAUAUCUACUGGAAUGCCGAUGGUGAAGACGGGCGGCUGGGCCUUUCCUGACGCUGAGGCACGAAAGCGUGGGGAGCAAACAGG